rnacentral:rRNA from 1 species
UACAGAGGUCUCAAGCGUUGUUCGGAUUCAUUGGGCGUAAAGGGCGCGUAGGCGGCGGGGUAAGUCGGGUGUGAAAUCUCAGAGCUCAACCCUGAAACUGCACUUGAUACUGCUCUGCUUGAGGACUGGAGAGGAGACUGGAAUUCACGGUGUAGCAGUGAAAUGCGUAGAUAUCGUGAGGAAGACCAGUGGCGAAGGCGGGUCUCUGGACAGUUUCCUG